CGUUCCUAGGCCGUCAUUGAAAAUAAGAAUGUGUUCUUAACUGACUUGCCUAGUUAAAUUAACAUUAAAUCAACGUGUAAAAGGUGCCAUAAAAUACCAAUUUCCGAUUGUUAUGAAAACUUGAAAUCGGCCCCAAUUAAUCGGUCGACCUCUAGACGGUAGUGUUAUUGUUCUAAGAUUGUAGAGUGGUGUGAUGGAUGCAUGGAUGGAUGGAUAGGUGGUGGGAGUACAUUAGGAGAAGGAUUCCACACGUUGUUGUGGUAGAUAAGCUGUAUCAGUCACUGUCUGACAGUGGACAGGCUUUUUGCUGUAGUGUUGGUAGUGUAGGUUAGGACUAGUAACAGGGAUGUUGUAGUGUUAGUGUAUGUUAGGAGUAGUAACAGGGAUGUUGCCGUGGAGGUUAGGACUAGUAACAGGGAUGUUGUAGUGUUAGUGUAGGUUAGGACUAGUAACAGGGAUGUUGUGGUGUUGGUGGAGGUCAGGACUAGUAACAGGGAUGUUGUGGUGUUAGUGUAGGUUAGGACUAGUAACAGGGAUGUUGCAGUGUUGGUGGAGGUUAGGACUAGUAAUAGGGAUAUUGUAGUGUUGGUAACAGGGAUGUUGUAGUGUUGGUGGAGGUUAGGAGUAGUAACAGGGAUGUUGUAGUGUUGGUGGAGGUUAGGACUAGUAACAGGGAUGUUGUAGUGGUGUUUGUAGGUUAGGACUAGUAACAGGGAUGUUGUAGUGUUGGUAGAGAUUAGGACUAGUCACAGGGAUGUUGUAGUGUUGGUGGAGGUUAGGACUAGUAACAGGGAUGUUGUGGUGUUGGUGGAGGUCAGGACUAGUAACAGGGAUGUUGUAGUGGUGGUGGAGGUCAGGACUAGUAACAGGGACAUUGUAGUAGGGAUGUUGUAGUGUUGGUGGAGGUCAGCUCUAGUAACAGGGAUGUUGUAGUGUUGGUGGAGGUUAGGACUAGUAACAGGGAUGUUGGGGUGUUGGUGGAGGUUAGGACUAGUAACAGGGAUGUUGUAGUGUUGGUGGAGGUCGGGACUAGUAGCAGGGAUGUUGUAGUGUUGGUGGAGGUUAGGAGUAGUAACAGGGAUGUUGUAGUGUUGGUGGAGGUCAGGACUAGUAACAGGGAUGUUGUAGUGUUGGUGGAGGUCAGGACUAGUAACAUGGAUGUUGUGGUGUAGGUUAGGACUAGUAACAGGGAUGUUGUAAUGUUGGUGUAGGUCGGGACUAGUAACAGGGAUGUUGUAGUGUUGGUGGAGGUCGGGACUAGUAACAGGGAUGUUGUAGUGUUGGUGGAGGUUAGGAGUAGUAACAGGGAUGUUGUAGUAGUGUUGGAGGUCAGGAGUAGUAACAGGGAUGUUGUAGUGUUGGUGGAGGUUAGGAGUAGUAACAGGGAUGUUGUAGUGUUGUUGGAGGUCAGGAGUAGUAACAGGGAUGUUGUAGUGUUGGUGGAGGUUAGGAGUAGUAACAGGGAUGUUGUAGUGUUUGUUGGUGGAGGUUAGGAGGAGUAACGGAUGUUGUAGUGUUGGUGGAGGUUAGGAGUAGUAACAGGGAUGUUGUAGUGUUGGUGGAGGUCAGGAGUAGUAACAGGGAUGUUGUAGUGUUGGUGGAGGUUAGGAGUAGUAACAGGGAUGUUGUAGUGUUGGUGGAGGUCAGGAGUAGUAACAGGGUUUCUGAGCCAUGGUGGUGUUGAUGUUGUCUCUAUGGAAGUGCUGCCCUGGAAGUGCAAGGUAGUCAUCCAGUGUUGUAGACCCAGAUGUGCAUUUCUCUUUCUGUCUGUCUCUCUCUCUCGUUCUUUGUUGCUCUGUCUCUCGCUCAAUCUCUACCCCUCCUCUCUCUCUCCCUCCAUCUCGCUCUCUUCAUCAGUCUCUCGGUCUUUCCCUCCAUCUCUCUCUCUCUGUGUGUUGGUGAUUACAUCACUUGCCCUCUCUCUCCUCUCUCUCUCUCUCUCUCUCUGCCUCUUGUGUAACCGACAGAUUUAUUUGCUCCAGCUGAGGACUAAUCUCUCCCGUGAGACAGACAGAAGGAACAAGGGAGAGGAGGAGAGCAGGACAAGCCAACCUUACUAACCUGACUGGACGCUCUGCCUCGUUAAUUCAAUCAGUC
ensembl:lncRNA